AUUGGUUCCACCAGGUUAAUCAUAACCACCAUUGAUAAUGUAAUCAGUGCUCUGUGUGUGUUUGUUUGUGACCAACCAUUAUCUUUGAUGAGGGGCAAGGAGCUGAUCUACGCUGCUAUGCCCAUCAAUAGGGCUCUGGCAAAGACCUCACCUCCAGCCUCGCCUCUUGCCUGCUCACCAACGGUCUUGGAUGGGGAGGACAGAAUUAGAUGGACUGGAGAUGCAUUUUCCAGACUGAAGCCUCAGUUGUUUGAUGGGGAGACCAUAAUUGGAAACAUGUAUGGAGCCAGCACAUGGAGACU